GACGAACGCUGGCGGCGUGCUUAACACAUGCAAGUCGAACGGAAAGGCCUUUUCGGAGGUACUCGAGUGGCGAACGGGUGAGUAACACGUGGGUGAUCUGCCUUGCACUCUGGGAUAAGCCCGGGAAACUGGGUCUAAUACCGGUACGGCCUGCACACUUGAGUGUGAGGUGGAAAGUUUUUUCGGUGUAGGUUGAGCCCGCGGCCUAUCAGCUUGUUGGUGGGGUAUUGGCCUACCAAGGCAGGGACGGGUAGCCGGACUGAGAGGUUGGUCGGACACAUUGGGACUGCGAUACGGCGCAGACUCCUACGGGAGGCAGCAGUGGGGAAUAUUGCACAAUGGGCGCAAGCCUGAUGCAGCGACGCCGCGUGGGGGAUGACGGCCUUCGGGUUGUAAACUCCUUUCGCCAGGGAAGAAGCGUUUUGUGACGGUACCUGGAGAAGAAGCACCGGCUAACUACGUG
rnacentral:rRNA from 1 species